rnacentral:misc_RNA from 1 species
GUGAAUCAUCAAAUUUUUGAACGCAAAUUGCACUUUCUGGUAUUCCGGAAAGUAUGCCUGUUUGAGGGUCAGUUAAAUAAAAAUCGGUGUUGUUGCUGCCUUUCGUGGCGACGCGUCGGUUGUGGGUCGUCUUACCUUCGGUUAAGUGACUUAAAAUUUUUGCAUUAUUUUCGAACUUAUUUAAAUCGCUUACUUACGUUUGAGUUAUCUAAUGCUUAUUAGGAUCUGUCAUUCCCAUGCUUCGCGCCUAUAAUUUUUCAUU